CGAAAUAAUACACUACUAUUAUUUUCUAUUUUUACAAUCUGGACUUAAGUUAGUCUCUAAAAAAACUAAAAUUAUUUUGGGAAAGUGCUCCUGUAGAUAGCAAUGUGAGAGACUAGUGAAGUCAAGUCCACGCUCUUUCUCUGAUGGCAAGUUCUUAAAUCUCCACUCCACUUUAAUUUUUUUAAUUUUUGGAUCUCAACUUUUCUGCGUUGAAAUUUUACGUGCUUAAUUCAAUUCAAAAGCGAUUAUAGCAGCUUAGUUGUCAACGACACGAUUAAAAGUCAGCCAAAAUAAAAGUCAAAGUGUGAACGUCAAAAUCCCAGCACUUGACGCACACAAACAAAGGGCAUGGUUAUAACUGGAUGUGUAUAUAUAGGAUGUAUUCAUAUCUCCAAUUUCAAACCCAGUCCAAGCUCCUUUCACAUUCCCAUUUUCCUCUAAUCGCCAUGGUAUCAGAAAUCUUUGGGACGUCAUCUGGCUGGACAUUUCCAAAGUCGAAAGCAGUUAGAAGAAAGUACUAGGGUCUAGAGCAGUGGUGUGAGUCUGCUGGAACGGGUGCGGCAAGUGUGGUCAAGAGUUUUACAAAGUUCAUCAUCAUGGCAUGGUCCAAGCACUUUUCAAGUGCAACUCAAAGAGAUUUUCCAUUUUCAUAUAUUAUGUAAGCGGUUAACACCAGCUGGCCGUAAAUAUUAUGAUAAUUUUUCUUUUAUACCGACGGGUAUACACACUAUUCAAAUCAAUGAAACACAUUUAGUAUAAUUUUCUAUACCAAUUCUCUUUACACAAAAUCUAAAAUUAAAGUUUUUUUUUAAUUUU